rnacentral:rRNA from 1 species
ACGAAGAGGCGGCGUACGGGUCGCGGGAACACGUGUGCAACCUGCCUUUAUCAGGGGGAUAGCCUUUCGAAAGGAAGAUUAAUACCCCAUAAUAUAUUUUACGGCAUCGUGGAAUAUUGAAAACUGAGGUGGAUAGAGAUGGGCACGCGCAAGAUUAGAUAGUUGGUGAGGUAACGGCUCACCAAGUCGACGAUCUUUAGGGGGCCUGAGAGGGUGAUCCCCCACACUGGUACUGAGACACGGACCAGACUCCUACGGGAGGCAGCAGUGAGGAAUAUUGGACAAUGGGUUAGCGCCUGAUCCAGCCAUCCCGCGUGAAGGACGACGGCCCUAUGGGUUGUAAACUUCUUUUGUAUAGGGAUAAACCUACUCUCGUGAGAGUAGCUGAAGGUACUAUACGAAUAAGCACCGGCUAACUCCGUGCCAGCAGCCGCGGUAAUACGGAGGGUGCAAGCGUUAUCCGGAUUUAUUGGGUUUAAAGGGUCCGUAGGCUGAUUUGUAAGUCAGUGGUGAAAUCUCACAGCUUAACUGUGAAACUGCCAUUGAUACUGCAAGUCUUGAGUGUUGUUGAAGUAGCUGGAAUAAGUAGUGUAGCGGUGAAAUGCAUAGAUAUUACUUAGAACACCAAUUGCGAAGGCAGGUUACUAAGCAACAACUGACGCUGAUGGACGAAAGCGUGGGGAGCGAACAGGAUUAGAUACCCUGGUAGUCCACGCCGUAAACGAUGCUAACUCGUUUUUGGGUUUUGGGAUUCAGAGACUAAGCGAAAGUGAUAAGUUAGCCACCUGGGGAGUACGAACGCAAGUUUGAAACUCAAAGGAAUUGACGGGGGCCCGCACAAGCGGUGGAUUUAUGUGGUUUAAUUCGAUGAUACGCGAGGACCUUACCAAGGCUUAAAUGGGAAAUGACAGUUUAGAAAUAGACUUUUCUUC